AGAAAAGAGAAGGAUGGAAUGUGUGCUGGGGGGAGAACACAGUUCGACACAGAUGGAGGCAGGAAAUGGAGGAGCUGGGGUUUCCUGCUGCCACCUAGGCCUGGAGCUGUCACAGGAGCAGGAACACGGUUCUGCUCUUCAUCUGCCUGCAGGAGGCCUCGGAGGAGCCAGAUCCCGAAGCUGCCGCAGAGAAAAUCUGACACGGGAGGUGCUGGAAGCAGCCCAGCCCGUCCCUCCUCUUACCGCCCUCACCUCCCCUGUGGAUGCAAAGUUCCAAAGUUCCACUGCGUUUUUAAAGGUGCCAUUACUUAAGCUCCAGCCUCUGUUGCCGUGA
rnacentral:lncRNA from 1 species